rnacentral:rRNA from 1 species
AGCGAACGCUGGCGGCAGGCUUAACACAUGCAAGUCGAGCGGGCGUAGCAAUACGUCAGCGGCAGACGGGUGAGUAACGCGUGGGAACGUACCUUUUGGUUCGGAACAACACAGGGAAACUUGUGCUAAUACCGGAUAAGCCCUUACGGGGAAAGAUUUAUCGCCGAAAGAUCGGCCCGCGUCUGAUUAGCUAGUUGGUGAGGUAACGGCUCACCAAGGCGACGAUCAGUAGCUGGUCUGAGAGGAUGAUCAGCCACAUUGGGACUGAGACACGGCCCAAACUCCUACGGGAGGCAGCAGUGGGGAAUAUUGGACAAUGGGCGCAAGCCUGAUCCAGCCAUGCCGCGUGAGUGAUGAAGGCCCUAGGGUUGUAAAACUCUUUCGCGCGCGACGAUAAUGACGGUAGCGCGAGAAGAAGCUCCGGCUAACUUCGUGCCAGCAGCCGCGGU